UUCAGACAUGGACAUGCAGAGGAGAAGAUGGUUAUUUUCAUAGGAAGGAAAGCACAGAACACCAGUGUUUGAGACACAGAUGAAAGGUGGCCAUUGGAGGCCUAUGCCAGCCAGACCUCUCUGUCUUGGAAGCUUUUGUCAUGGAGGAAUCCUUGGAUAUAUGGAAUUUGGGAGGAGGAAUCUCAAUUUUGACAGUGGACACCUUGAGAAGAAGGACAGUUCUUUUCCACUGGAAGGAAAACCCAGAGCCCCAGUGUUUUGAAAGCAGAUGAGAGGCAGCCCCCAAGAGGCCAAGGGCAGCCAGACCUGUCUGUCCUGGCUGCUUUCACUGGGGAGCAAUUCUUGGCUGUAUGGAGUUUUGGAGGUGGAAUCGCAAUUUUGGCCAUGUGCACCUGGUCAAGAUGGAUGUGGUUUUUUUCCAAUAGGAAAGAAAAGCACAAAGUCCAAGUGUUCUGGAAGGAGAUGAGAGGUGGCCACCCUUAGGUCAAGCCAGCCACACCUGUCUCUCCUUGCACUCUUCGUCUAGGGGCUAUCCUUGGACAUAGGGCAUUUUGGAGGUGGAAUCUCAGUUUUGGCUGUGGGCACCUAGACAGGAAGAAGAGUUCUUUUUAUUAGGAAGGAAAGCACAGAGCCCCAUUGUUUCAAAGGCAGAUGAGUGUCAACCCUCAGGAAGUCAAGGCCAGUCAGACUUAUCAGUCCUGGCAGCUUUUAUCUGCAAGCUAUCCUUGUAUAUAGGGAAUUCUGGAGGCAGAUUCCCCAGUUUUGGCCAGAGACGCCUGGUUGAGUAUGGCCAAGAAAGAAAAGCACAUGGUCCCAGUGUUUCAAAGGCAGAUGAGACAAGGCACCCAGGUGGCCAAGGCAACCAGACCUGUCUGUCCUGGCAGAUUUCAUCUGGGAACAAUAUUUGCAUAUAAGGAAAUUUGGAGGAGGAAUCCCAAUUUUGGCAGUGGGCCUCUGGAGGAGAAGCACAGUUCUCUCCCAGAGGAAAUAAAUCCCAGAGCCCCAGUGCUUCAGGCACAGAUGAGAAGCAGCCCUCAACAUGCCAAGGUCAGCUGGACCAGUCAGACAGCCCCCAGGAGGCCCAGCCAGACAGAACAGUUCCAUGUUCCCUUGGUUUUGUGGAACCCCACAGUGUCAUAAAGGUCUCCUUGGUUCCAUCAGGCCCUGGAGUGUUACAAAGCUCCCUUGCUUCUGCAGUGUCACAAUGGCCCGGUGCUUCCAUGAGACCUUGCAAUGUCACAAUGGCUUAAUGGUUCCACAAAGUCCUGAUGUGUCACCAUGGCCCCUCAGCUCCAUGUGCCCUCGCUGUGUCACAAUGGCUCCUCCGUGACACUAUGGGCUCCACAAGGUCACUAUGGACCCUUGGCUCCUUGGGGCCCCCAGGUUUCACAAUAGUCUCCUUGAUUCCACGAGGCACCACAGUGUCACCAUGGCCCCUUGGUUCCAUGAGGUUCUGUAGUGUCACCAUGGUGUCCUUGGACCCUCAUUGUUCCAACUGACCCAUAGUUCUAUGAGGUUCCAUAGUAUCACCAUGGUCACUGUCAGAGGCUGGAUGAGAUCGAUGUCCUGAGACACCUUGGGAUGCUCGGAACGCCCGUGUGGGGCCAGUUCAGAGAAGAGAUGAGAGAAGCAUUCCGUAGCUGAUUGUGAUGCUGAAUGUCUCCUUUGGAGGUCUGUGCAUGGAGAAGGAUGAGCCCAUUGAGGGCUGACCCCGUUUGAACAAGCUGCUCCUCACCUCCAGCCUCACUGUGUCUGACAUCACCCACCUGGGACUGACAUCCCUGUGCCCUGCAGCAGAACCUUGUCUCCUGAGAUCUGCAGCUCCAUGUCCCAGCCCCCUACAUCGUGUCCCACCUGCUCUCCUCAGGGCUCUGCCUGCACACAGGCCCAGGAGAAGUUUUCCUGUUGGGAAGGAAACAAUGGAAAAGCCUGAGGUUUCCUCAACAUCAAACCCCACUCAGGAACCACCUGCUCAGUACUGGCUGCCUGGAAUGGUGUCACCUUUCUACAAGGGAUAGUGUGACCAGAAAUGAUCUCUGGAAACAGAAUUCCGAGUCUUGCAGCAUAAUUCUCUGUCCCUGUCCUUUCCCUGGAUCUCUGUUGCAGAUGGAAGCAUCCUCACUUUUAACCUCUCUUUGGAAUGCAGAGAUGUUCCCAAGUGUGUUGAGCAGGAUUUGCUCAAUGUUUCUACAAGACUUUGUGUUCCUCAUGGAACAAAGGGGCCAUUUUGACACUGAGUGGGCAACAUGGAAGCAAGGAGUGAAUUGUUACACUGGGGUCCCAUGGAACCAAGGGGCCAUGGUGACAUAGCAGGGCCAUGUGGAUCCAGUGGUCCAUUGUAACACUGUGGAUCCAAGGAGUUCAUUUUGACACUGAGGAAGCUCAUAGAGUGAGUCCUAUUUCAGGCAGUUUUAAGGGAUGAAGACAGAUCAGAAGCAAAUGACAGCUAUACCGAAAGGAGAACCAGCCAGGUGUCUUCCCAACAUGGAUCACAGUGAGUGUGGGCUCUGACCAACAUGGGUCCUCCCCAUGGGAGGACCUACAAUGCAUGAAGUUCUUCCUGCAGUUAGGACACUCACAGAACUUUCCUUAUUGGUGCCUCCGUUGCUGUUGCGUCAAGUAAGAGCUGCUGGAGAAGCUCUUUCCACACUGGGGACACUCGUAGGGCCAUUCCCCAGUGUGGAUUAUCUGGUGGCUGAUCAGGGUGUUGCUUCACCUGAAUCUCUUCCCACACUCCAAGCACUUGUGGGGCUUCUCAUCAUGAAGCUAUUCAGGGACAACCAGCUCCAAGCUCUGGCUGAAGCUCUCUCCACCUUCCUGGCACAGGGUGGGGCUUUCCUCCUCAGAGCACCCUGGGCGGGGUUUGCAGCCCCUCCACAUGUUGGAUUUCAGAGAUUUUUCCUCCCUGUUGGAUUCCUGCACCAUGGAGCCACUCAAAACGGCCUCUUCCAUGAGGUUCUGACAUGGGGAUUUGUCCUCCAUCGUCUCCAUUCUCAGUUCCUUGUCUGGGGGAGGAAGGACAAGGAGAGGAUGGGAUUUGCCUCCAUGCCAGAGGGAAAGGGAAGUAGAUCCCUCCAGGGCUUCCCUGGCAGGACGAUAUUGGCAGUGGGGUUGUCCUGCAGCCAGGGGCCAUGCUGGGCUGGGAGAUGGAGCAGGAGAGAGGGGGAAAGGGGCAGUGACUUCCUCCUCACCUUCCUGGGUGUCCCGGGGCAUCAUCUCAGUUUGAAAAGACAGCUGUCUGCUAAGGAAGGCCGGAGCCUCCCUUGAAAUGGAAAAUGUAAAGCCCCUCCCUCUGAAUUACAAUUUUCAAAAUUAGGGGCUCCCAGGCAAAAGAUACAGGAAUAGGAAUAACUGUUUUUUAGUAGAAAAAUUAAAAAUAAAAAUGCCAUAGUACUAAAAAACUACUUACAGAGUCAGACUACAACCUGACACCCAGUGGGUCAGGGUGGUGGUAGCAAUCCCAUUAAAUGGUGGCUGCAGUGCUCCUGCAGUGACAGAUGUGGUUCUGUUGAAGCAGUGAUUUUGUAGAAGGGUGGAGUUUUCCUCUGAAGGUCCAGUGGUGGUGUAGGUGGGCCUGGUCUUCCUCUGGGAUCUAGUGGAGAAGAAAGCUGCUCAUCUGGGAAUCCUGUGGGAGAAGGCUGGCUAUUGUGUUUCAAGCCUCAGAUUAUAUCCAGAUAGGAAUGCUUGGCUCCUCCCUCUGGGCAGAGCUUCUCAUGAUGGGAUGGUGUAAUUUUUAUCAGUCAUGCAGUGACACUCAAUGGCCCAAUAACAGAUGAUAUCUCCCUAGAGUGAGAAUUGGUUGUGGAAAAGAUAAAGUAAACUGCCCAAUUAACAGAUGAUAACUGCUCCACCUUUAACAGAUGGUAAUUGAAUAUACACCCAGCUAAACUUGAGACACUGUUCCAGCCUUGGAAACCAGGAUUUGGUACUAGGGCUUGUUAGGGAAUGCAACCCUGAGUGAAGACAGAGAAAGGAUCUCCAGAGCCUGCAGCCAGAAAUGGAGAGUUGUGGGAUAAUCAUACCAACAUCUUCUCUUUUGCAAUUAUUUUGAAUUAUUAUUUGUUUUGUCUAUCUUAUACUUUUGUAAUUUUUUGCAAAUUUGCAUUAUCUAAAUUACACUGUUUCUUAAGUUGG